AGUAAUGGGAGAUUGGCUGAUGAAGGUCUCGUUCUGGGAGUAUGCAUGUUGGGAGAUCCUGCUUCUGGAGCUGUGGUGAUGUAGAAUGGAGGGGCCUUGAUCUGUACUUUUGGAGCAAGCACAGUGGACUCAAGGAACUGCAUAGAGACUUCAGUGAAAGAAAAAGGAACCGGAAGGUGUAGAGGUGAAACUUGGAAUACUUGAAGAAAAGACAAUGAAACAGAUCUCCUACAAUGAGUGACUUUUCUCUGUGAAGGCCAAGAGAUCCAUUUAAGAAAAUAAAAUGAGCAACUACCCCAUUCAUAGGCCCCUGGAAGAAGACAAAAUGGAUGGAACAUCCUCAUCCUGGAAGAUCAUUUCAGCCUUCAAACUCACACCUCGACAAGUAACCUUGGCCCUGAGGAUAGAUACUCCCUCUGAUUUGGAUGGUAGAGAACAUCUCUCAAAAGCUCCAUUUGAGGAGGAGUCCAGGCCAGCUAUAUCCUCAUUUCUCAUCAGCUACACUCCUUGGCAUAAUACAGUGUCAAGCUUGAGUGACCUAGUGAGGAAAUUCAGAACCCUGGAAGCCAGAGGGGUCUGGCUAGCUUGGGGCCCUCUCUGAAAUUUCCAAACAGAGCUGCCGCUUCUACUUCUUCAGGAACUUGAAUAUUUAUCCUUGCUCUGAGGUGGGAAGAGAGAAGCCGUCAGAGUCACUACACAUUUGGUUUUGUUCAGGAGGUCGAAAGUGUCCCCUCCUGGAAUAAGGCAUUUUUGUUGUUGUUUUGUUUUGUAUGUCCUUGUUUUUACACAUAAAGUAAGCAAACCUUGGAGGGGGUCUCAGAAGCCCCAGGUGUCUGGCCCCAGUCAGAAUAUUCACGUAUCCACCAGUGACCUGAAGGCUUUUGAGACGCCCCAUUCCACAGAAAAAAAGACUUGGCCAGAAGAACAGGCCCUGCACUUCCCAGGCCAAAGUAAACUGAACGGUUGAGUUCCACACUCCCCUAAGGAGAUGAAGGCUAUAGCAGCAUCUGCAAUAGUCUGUCAGUGCUCGCAGUCUGCAGAGAGAGCCCAGGCUCCCACAUGGACCACUGCCCUUUUGUCUUCCUUUCCAUCCCGGGGUGUAGAAAACUGGGCUGGGCACGAGGAACCCAGGGAACUCGGAGCCUCGCAUUCAGAUCAGACUUCCUGUGUGGGCCAGAGCCAAUGACUUACAGCUCAACUCCAAAGUGGGGAGAAGAAAAAAAAACACAAAAAUCCAGGCCUGCCUUAUAAGCCAGGCUGGGGAUUAGAGCCCCUAAAUCCUGAAAUGCUGGUCAAGCGCAAGACAAAGGUGGAGUGUUGUUCCUGAUCCCUGGAGAAAGUCCCCAGGUGAGCCCUGGAUAAGGUAGAUUCUUGUAGACAACGUCAUCCAGACUGAGCUAAUUGAAAUCAUGCCUUUGUCAGAACCAGUGAGGGAGCCAGAGCACAGACUAGGAAAUCCAGUCGGGGAGAAGACAAGGGAUUCUCCGUGUCUCCCUGCCUUCUCGAUGUAAUUAAGUGGCAGUUGCCCAUAGGUGCUACACAGGUGGUCUCCAGCCUCAGGCAGUGACCUGGGGGAAAAAAAUUCAGCUGCAACCAAUCUA
ensembl:lncRNA